AUGGUAAGAUAGAUCCCCCAUCAAUCUGAUUGGGAUUUGCACCUCUACGGAUGAGUCCAUUUUUGUCUAACAUAAUUGUUAUACAGUUCUAUAUUUAAGAGAUGAGGUAUUUUGUACAUUAUUUACAUUUGACGGAUAUUUGUCCUCAUCUUGUAUGUUGUUAACACAACAUUUCGGCUGAUAUACCCUCCAGCCUUAAUCAGGUGUCUCAGCUUUCGUUGAGUGAAUCUGGUAGACGAAAACCGUGUGGAAGCUGCUCAUAUGUGUGUGUGUGUGUGUGUGAUCCAGUGUUGGUUUGUUUGUAUUCCCGUAACUUAGCGGUUCGGCAAAAGUGUUCGAAGGAAUAAGCACCAAACUUUAAGAAAAUAAGUAAUGGGGUCGAUUUAUUCGACUAAAUUUUCAAGGUGGUGGACCCAGUGUAGCUACACUCCAAUGACUGAAACAAGUAAACGAUAAUAGAUGAAAGACGUAAUUCACGAUCUGUGUCUGUAUCUCUAUUGAUGGUUUCCUUAUCUUUGUCUCUUCUGGCACUCACUUUUCCACUUGUCCACUGCAAAUCUUUACUAUACAAUCCAUAUAGCACACCCGUCUCACUCAUCUCCACACUGUCACUUCCACUUUAUUUAACUGCUUAAGCCAUGCAUUAAACUCUACUCAAUUAUUCUACCCACGAAAAUUACACAAACAAUGUCCUCCGCGCCUUUGAACUUUUAUUCUUUACAAAGAAUUUUAACAUCAGCGUAGGAGGGCCUAAAAACGCUAUCGGUACUGCCCUUCCUUCCAGACUAAAUUAUCCCCCGAAUUCCACAAAUGUGUGUGCAGCACUAAGUCACAAAUACAGCAGAGUAAUAAUAAUAAUAAUCUCUUUCGACAGCAAUAUCGGAUUUAAUUUUACGAUGAGCCACUUCACUUUCAGGACCAGCGAUUUCUAACAGUAAAUAUCUGGAUAAGCAAGAUAUUUCAACAGGUCGAUUAGCCCUCAAAACACCACAUGAAGUUUUCAUUGGUAGCUCAAAAGCAUGUUAUGAGUUAUGGGAUAUUUUCAAUCAAAACGUGCAUAUGUAUGUGUCGGAAGAAACAGGUAGAUAGUCAUACGCAAAUUGAAAAUAUCCAUGCGUGCAUAUGUAUAGAGUAACAACUCUUAUUUUGAGCAUAAAAAUACACGCUGUCUAAGGGAAAUAAGUCAGUGACUUGAGUCGUUGGUAAAUAUGUUAAGGGGCGUCAUGUACUGAAUGACCUUCCUUUUAGAGAAAGAAAACCUUGCAACACCUUAGAGAAGAAAAACUCCUGCAGAAAAGGGAGAUAUAAUAUCGAGAAAUUAGUAAUACAUAUGCUUAAGGGGGUAUAUAUUCUUUGUCUGCAGGCAAAGGGACGUAAAAAAAUCCCAUAACAGUUGUCAAACAACGGGUGGACACAAACAAACGCGCUCGCAGGCUUGCGCUCAAAUAUACACACACACAAACAAACACACACAUAUACAUACACACACGACGGAUAUCCAGACAGUUUCUAUCUAUAAAUUCACUUACAAGGCCUUACAAGCGUAGCAGAGAACAUCUCUUUCCCUGUCAUCACCUGACUGACUAUUCUUUGCGCGGGUAAAUUAUCUCCAGUCCGUUCACUCCAGGACGCAAAUCGACCAACCGUAGCUCCUAAUAAGGUCACGUGAGAGUGUUCUUCUGAUGGUUCUCUGGAGCCUAUCUGUAUCUAUAAAUAGCCUGCUAAGCUACCCGCCAAUUCGUCGUGGCUCAGAUCUUCUGAGAUCUGGUCGUUUGACCACACACGCGUAACACAGCACCAACCAGCCAGCCAGUUCCAGCGACGACAUCAACAACCACUUCAACUACGACUACCAGCAUCGUCGCCAGCGUCAACAUGACUUCUACACGUACACAAAUUACCAAACAACCACCGCAGCUUCUCUUCUCAACCCUGUUUGUGUGAAUCGCCGCACCACGAAAUAACCGCCAGAAUUCGACACCUGCGAGAACCCAUCUGUAUUAAGAACCCGGCCCGGCAUAGAAGCCCCAACAUCAUGACGAGUGACCGCUCUGCCUUAAACUUAACUUCUUACAUGCAGACCUACAAUCUAACUGUGUACCUCAACAGAACUGAACUGUUUGUGUGCGUGAUGGUGCGGCUUAGAGAAGAUGAUUGAGAUUACUACAAUAUGAGUAACUAACUACAGCAGCAUCCAAGACUUUUACAAUGUCAGCAACUAUUUGGAGAUGAAAUAUUUUCAGAUCCUGAAGGAGUUGACUAGUCUAUGGGACGCAGUUUUGGUUAUAUGAUCAGGAGAGAUCAUCAAUGAGCGUGGAAGUCUGUCAUUUGUAGUUUGUAACUUUGAAGGUUUUACCUGCAUGCUGUCCAGAACUAGAGGGUAGGGUAAAAGACUGUUUCUUUGAUAUAUCUAAUGGCUGUGUCUCGUGCCUUGUGCCUAGACAAAACAAAAAGCACACAACAAAUAAACAUCAGCAAGCACCGAAGAAGUAAUGUACUUGGUAUUAGCCAUUUCACUUCUCUUACGAAGCUAAUACUUUUCAGAAAUCUUUAUAAUUCAUUCCAGGUGGAUCCUAUCGGCUCCAUAGUUCCUAAUAAAGGACUUAUUUUCAUUUGGUGAAUUAUUAUUUAUGUGAUUUGUUGAUCUUAAGAUGUAUGUGUGUACCUUUCCCUUUCCUAUUAACAUCAGAUUUAUACUCACAAACUUUUUUUACUUAUAUAAUUACAUUCCAAAACUUUAUCCAAGUAUUUAACCUUUAACAAUUUUCAUUUUUUUUUUUUUUAUAUAUCUUUUUUUCAAUUAACCAGUCGUUCAAACGAUCUACUAAAUCAUUCUGCACUUGAAAUUACUCAUAUUUUAAAUUCAGCCAUAUUCUUUAACAAGUCAAAUCGUCGAAUGUGAGGGCUUAUAUAAUUAGUUGUUUUUAAGUUCACCUCAGUAAACUUUGGCAACUUAAUAAUUCUGUUUCAUGAAUCAGUGAAAUUUAUAGAUUAAACAAAAAUGGCAACGUU